rnacentral:rRNA from 2 species
UAGGGAAUCUUCCGCAAUGGGCGAAAGCCUGACGGAGCAACGCCGCGUGAGUGAUGAAGGUCUUCGGAUCGUAAAACUCUGUUAUUAGGGAAGAACAAAUGUGUAAGUAACUAUGCACGUCUUGACGGUACCUAAUCAGAAAGCCACGGCUAACUACGUGCCAGCAGCCGCGGUAAUACGUAGGUGGCAAGCGUUAUCCGGAAUUAUUGGGCGUAAAGCGCGCGUAGGCGAUUUUUUAAGUCUGAUGUGAAAGCCCACGGCUCAACCGUGGAGGGUCAUUGGAAACUGGAAAACUUGAGUGCAGAAGAGGAAAGUGGAAUUCCAUGUGUAGCGGUGAAAUGCGCAGAGAUAUGGAGGAACACCAGUGGCGAAGGCGACUUUCUGGUCUGUAACUGACGCUGAUGUGCGAAAGCGUGGGGAUCAAACAGG